GUGGUCUCAGCUGCCUCCUGCCUCCCUCAGCUGCACCCAAAUCCUCUCAGGGCAGGAUAAAGGAAACUCAAUCCACUCAUCUUGUUGAUUGAAAAAGAAAAUGCUAAAAUGUAAAAGGAAGAGAAGAGAGGACUUAAUAUUGAUUAUUGCCUCCAAUACUUUGUGGAAUCUUCUCUUCUGUCUCCGUUGAGAGUAAGGAUGCUCUCCACAGUGAAUGACAGUGGAAGUUUAGGAAACACAGGUGCAGUCACAGGGUAAUGCAUCAUUUUCCUCUGACUGCUUUGAAGAUUUCAUCAUGAAAAUUUCUCACCAGUUUGAUUUCGAUGUUUCUGAGCAUGGAUUUCUUUGAGGUAAAGUGCUUGAAACUUCAUGAAGCCAACUUGUGAUCAUGAGGAGCCAAGACUGAGCACAAUCCUCAAUAGGCUGAAGAUGGCAAAGGGGAAAGACAGAAAAAAAACCUGGAACACUAACAAUGUUGUUGAGACACUGAAAUAGACAAUCCUGGAAGUGAUCUAUCUCUGAACUUACUAUUUACAGGAGAUGAUUUCUUUCUUUCUUUUUUUUAAUCAUUAAGCCAAUGAAUGUUGGGCUUUCUGCCAAAUACAGUUGAAAAUAUCCAAUCUGAUACAGACAUCUCUUAUUCACAGGACACUGGGCUUCACUGUCAAGUAUCUUACUCUCCAGAAGUGCAAAUAUCCAG
rnacentral:lncRNA from 1 species